rnacentral:tRNA from 1 species
GAGGAAGUUUACGACAAGAACUGCUAAUUCAUGUCUCCAUAUAUAAUCAUAUGGCUUCCUCA